rnacentral:rRNA from 1 species
CUUUCAACAACGGAUCUCUUGGUUCUGGCAUCGAUGAAGAACGCAGCGAAAUGCGAUAAGUAAUGUGAAUUGCAGAAUUCAGUGAAUCAUCGAAUCUUUGAACGCACAUUGCGCCCUCUGGUAUUCCGGAGGGCAUGCCUGUUCGAGCGUCAUUACACCACUCCAGCCUCGCUGGGUAUUAGGUGCCGCGGC